AGGAGGAUCAGACGGACGGACGUCACGUUCUUGAACCAGUGGAAUUCAAAGCGAGGAGCCCGUUUUACCCUCAGUGCACUUGCAUCUCUCAGGGAAAACCGGCUUGUCCUAGCACAGUAACUUUUCUUGCUGCUGACAAGGAGAUGGAAGCCACACAGGAUGGAAUUCGGGCAGUAAUCCUGGCUACAAGAACAAAAAAAUGCUGAAUGGUGGGCAGGGAUGGAAAGGUGGCACGCAGAGGAUUUCUAGUGCAGUGAGACUUCUCCGUGUGACACCACAGUGAAGGAUACGUGUCCCAACCCCCAGGAUGCACAGCGCAGGAGUGAGCCCUGACGUCAGCCGUGGGCUCUGGGCGGUGACGGUGUGUCGGCGUAGCUCCAUCCACCGCGACAAGUGUUCCGUCUGCUGGGAGGUGGACAGUGGGGAGGGUGUGCACGUGUGGGGGCAGGA